rnacentral:rRNA from 1 species
GACGAACGCUGGCGGCGUGCUUAACACAUGCAAGUCGAACGGAAAGGCCCUGCUUUUGUGGGGUGCUCGAGUGGCGAACGGGUGAGUAACACGUGAGUAACCUGCCCUUGACUUUGGGAUAACUUCAGGAAACUGGGGCUAAUACCGGAUAGGAGCUCCUGCUGCAUGGUGGGGGUUGGAAAGUUUCGGCGGUUGGGGAUGGACUCGCGGCUUAUCAGCUUGUUGGUGGGGUAGUGGCUUACCAAGGCUUUGACGGGUAGCCGGCCUGAGAGGGUGACCGGCCACAUGGGGACUGAGUUACGGCCCAGACUCCUACGGGAGGCAGCAGUGGGGAAUAUUGCACAAUGGGCGGAAGCCUGAUGCAGCAACGCCGCGUGCGGGAUGACGGCCUUCGGGUUGUAAACCGCUUUCGCCUGUGACGAAGCGUGAGUGACGGUAAUGGGUAAAGAAGCACCGGCUAACUACGU